rnacentral:rRNA from 1 species
UACAGAGGGUGCAAGCGUUGUUCGGAAUCAUUGGGCGUAAAGGGUGCGUAGGUGGCGCUGUAAGUCGGGUGUGAAAUUUCGGAGCUUAACUCCGAAACUGCAUUCGAUACUGCGGUGCUUGAGGACUGGAGAGGAGACUGGAAUUUACGGUGUAGCGGUGAAAUGCGUAGAUAUCGUAAGGAAGACCAGUGGCGAAGGCGGGUCUCUGGACAGUUCCUGACGCUGAGGCACGAAGGCCAGGGGAGCAAACGGG